GACGAACGCUGGCGGCAUGCCUAACACAUGCAAGUCGAGCGAGUAGAUCCCUUCGGGGUGAAGCUAGCGGCGGACGGGUGAGUAACACGUGGGCAACCUGCCUCAUAGAGGAGAAUAGCCUUCCGAAAGGAAGAUUAAUACCGCAUAAGAUUGUAGCUUCGCAUGAAGCAGCAAUUAAAGGAGCAAUCCGCUAUGAGAUGGGCCCGCGGCGCAUUAGCUAGUUGGUGAGGUAACGGCUCACCAAGGCGACGAUGCGUAGCCGACCUGAGAGGGUGAUCGGCCACAUUGGGACUGAGACACGGCCCAGACUCCUACGGGAGGCAGCAGUGGGGAAUAUUGCACAAUGGGGGAAACCCUGAUGCAGCAAUGCCGCGUGAGUGAUGACGGCCUACGGGUUGUAAAGCUCUGUCUUCGGGGACGAUAAUGACGGUACCCGAGGAGGAAGCCACGGCUAACUACGUGCCAGCAGCCGCAGUAA
rnacentral:rRNA from 1 species